AAACCAACCGGGAUUGCCUUAGUAACGGCGAGUGAAGCGGCAAAAGCUCAAAUUUGAAAUCUGGUACCUUCGGUGCCCGAGUUGUAAUUUGGAGAGGGCAACUUUGGGGCCGUUCCUUGUCUAUGUUCCUUGGAACAGGACGUCAUAGAGGGUGAGAAUCCCGUGUGGCGAGGAGCGCGGUUCUUUGUAAAGUGCCUUCGAAGAGUCGAGUUGUUUGGGAAUGCAGCUCUAAGUGGGUGGUAAAUUCCAUCUAAAGCUAAAUAUUGGCGAGAGACCGAUAGCGAACAAGUACAGUGAUGGAAAGAUGAAAAGAACUUUGAAAAGAGAGUGAAAAAGUACGUGAAAUUGUUGAAAGGGAAGGGCAUUUGAUCAGACAUGGUGUUUUGUGCCCUCUGCUCCUUGUGGGUAGGGGAAUCUCGCAUUUCACUGGGCCAGCAUCAGUUUUGGUGGCAGGAUAAAUCCAUAGGAAUGUAGCUUGCCUCGGUAAGUAUUAUAGCCUGUGGGAAUACUGCCAGCUGGGACUGAGGACUGCGACGUAAGUCAAGGAUGCUGGCAUAAUGGUUAUAUGCCGC
rnacentral:rRNA from 1 species